rnacentral:rRNA from 1 species
CUACGGGAGGCUCCAGUGGGGAAUAUUGGACAAUGGGCGCAAGCCUGAUCCAGCAACGCCGCGUGGAGGAAGAAGGUCUUCGGAUCGUAAACUCCUGUCAGGUGGGAGGAAAAGCCGGAGGCGAAUAGUCUUCGGUCUUGACAGUACCACCAGAGGAAGCCCCGGCUAACUCCGUGCCAGCAGCCGCGGUAAUACGGAGGGGGCUAGCGUUAUUCGGAAUUAUUGGGCGUAAAGGGCGCGUAGGCGGCGAGGUAAGUCAAAGGUGAAAUCCCUCGGCUCAACCGAGGAAUUGCCUUUGAAACUGCCUUGCUCGAGGCCGGGAGGGGGUAGCGGAAUUCCCAGUGUAGCGGUGAAAUGCGUAGAUAUUGGGAGGAACACCGGUGGCGAAGGCGGCUACCUGGACCGGUUCUGACGCUGAUGCGCGAAAGCGUGGGGAGCAAACAGGAUUAGAUACCCCAGUAGUC